UACAGAGGUCCCGAGCGUUGUUCGGAUUCACUGGGCGUAAAGGGUGCGCAGGUGGCUUGGCAAGUUUGAUGUGAAAGCUCAGGGCUUAACCCUGAAAUGGCAUUGAAUACUGUUGAGCUGGAGGUUUGGAGGGGGGACUGGAAUUCUUGGUGUAGCAGUGAAAUGCGUAGAUAUCAAGAGGAACACCAGUGGCGAAGGCGAGUCCCUGGACAACACCUGACACUGAGGCACGAAAGCGUGGGGAGCAAAAGGG
rnacentral:rRNA from 1 species